rnacentral:rRNA from 1 species
UACGAAGGGGGCUAGCGUUGUUCGGAAUUACUGGGCGUAAAGCGCACGCAGGCGGCUCGAUAAGUUAGAAGUGAAAGCCCCGGGCUUAACCUGGGAAUUGCUUUUAAGACUGUCGGGCUAGAAUCCAGAAGAGGGUAGUGGAAUUCCGAGUGUAGAGGUGAAAUUCGUAGAUAUUCGGAAGAACACCAGUGGCGAAGGCGACUACCUGGUCCGACACUGACGCUGAGGCGCGAAAGCGUGGGGAGCAAACAGG